rnacentral:lncRNA from 1 species
AAAGGUUUUCUUGAGAGACCUCUCCCUUUUAUACACCCCACUGCCUUCCAGACAGAUUGAGGCUGCCUGGAUUUGGAGAGUCACUGCUCAUCCUCGGGUGCAGAUUUUUCUUUGAAAGCUUGCCUGGGGCUGGCUCCUUACUCGAACUUUAUUUUAGGAGCAAGACAUGGAGGUUCCAACCUUAUGCCUAAUUUAUGGGAUGGAGGAUGAGUCUGCAGGGCAUACUAUCCUGU